AAAAAAAAAUCCAAUAAAAUGUGCGCAUAUAAAAAUAUAGAAGGAAUUAGAUUACUAGACAACAACAAACACUUUUUCAUAAAAUGAUGAAUUUAUCAAAAUAAAGUAUUUAAAUCUAAGUUAAAAUUCCAACCCAAUGAAAGUUUAAUCAAACAAAUUUUUAAAUUUGAGAACUUAGCCAUAUUUAAUAUAAUUUGGGGUUUGUCCUAAUUUCAAUAAAAACUAAUUUUUUUUUUCCACUUAACAUGUACCAUCUAAAUUUGAGUGUAAUAAGCAGUUUGGUAAUUGAAUGGUAUAUGCUAAGUUUUUCAUGAAUUUUAUAAAUAAAACAUUUACUUAUUAAAAAGAAUGGAUGGUACUUCAAUUAAGGAUAUGUAAUAGUAUAAUCAUAUAUUUUAAUUUAUAAUAUAAAAUCUCUAAUUUUUAUUUUAAUUAGCAAAAAUCCUCUUAAUGAUUUUUAGUAGUUGGAUUAUAGGUUUUUCAUGCUAACGUGGCAUUUUUCAAUUGAAAAAUUAUGUUUUUAUGGAUUGAUAUUUUGAUAGGUA
rnacentral:misc_RNA from 1 species